rfam:Reichenbachiella faecimaris strain DSM 26133 genome assembly, contig: Ga0069982_11
AUGGCGGAUUCUGAAAAGCCCAAAUAGAGUAGGAA